rnacentral:lncRNA from 1 species
UAGUUGCUUCAGGUAAGGGUAUGGACUGUCAUGUCUGGGUAACAGCCAGCGCUUGCACAAGGAGUCUCUUCCCACAGGAACCUGGGAGGAAAAUGAACAGGUUACUUCCUCCUCCUGGUCCCACUGGUCCUCAUACCUGCCCUCUCUAUACAGCUAGAUCGGAAUAAUGUGACUGGCCUCACUCUUUCAGGCUAAGACUGUAGCUUGUGCCCCUGGGAAGCAUGAUGCUUGAUCUUAGUUGUCAACAUGAUCGAUUUUAAAAUCAUCUGGAAUCAGACCUCCAGAAGUGUCUAGCCGGCUGUUCCCGGCGAGGCUUACCUGAAUGGGGAGACCCACCCUGAAAAAAAAAAAAGGAAGAAAAGAGAAAGCAAAUCGAAUGCCAGCCUUUCUUGCUUGAUUUCCUGUUUCGUCCUGUUUCGAGUGUGGAGAGGGAGGAGUCACAGCUGAGAAGCACUUCCGCUGCUACUUUGUCUUUCCUACGCGAUGGACAUCCUCACACUGUGAACCAAAGCAGUCCCUCCAUUGAGUUGCUUUUCAGCAUUUUUGUUCGGGUUUUGCAAUUCUGAAAAUCCAUCCCAGCCAAACAUUGAGUCAUGCCCCCAGUCCUUCAGUGGCCUUAUGUCACGGCAGUGAAAAGUGUCUGUCUCCAGAUGGCUCGUUAGACCCAAGGAGCAAUUCUCUUUCACUUAUAAUAUCUGCAAGUAUUUGAAUUGAUACUGAUAUCUUCAGAUUUUGUUGAAAGCUGUUGUGCAGGUCCCAGCUAUUCCAUGUCUUCAUGGCAGAUGAGAAGUGCAUGGCUGUCUGUAAGCAGAGUGUAAAAGAUGGAACAGAUUGUUUUCUUAGGUGCACACAGGCUGACACUGAAGAUGCACACGUGCCAUUGAAAUAAACCAAGAGUAUUGUGUGGCUUCCAGAGCCCUGCCUGUACCUGCACCUUUUCCUCUUCCACUCAAGAACUCAUGUUAGCAGGUAAGCUAGUGAAUAUAAGUAUAAGGCUCUAUAGGGACUACCUUAAAUAACACACAUUUCUAGUAAAUGGCAAACAAAUAAGCCAAUUAUAAAUAUUAGACUUCUUGUCAUAGACACUGUGUUUAUUCAGACAAUGUCACAUGUGAUGUUUUUAAUUUAUGUUUUAGCAAUUGGUCUCAAACUUCUGGGGAACAUUUUAUUGUUUCUGUAACUUUUAGGAAAGAACACAGUGUUCUUUAGUCAGGAGUCUGAAUGACAGUGUGGAAGAGAAUGCUUAGAAAGAAUUGCAGUAGAGCCUUUACUGACUCUAGACAGGCA